ACGUAGGGGGCAAGCGUUAUCCGGAAUUAUUGGGCGUAAAGAGUGCGUAGGUGGUUAUGUAAGCGUGAGGUUUAAGGCAGUGGCUUAACCACUGUUCGCCUUGCGAACUGCAUAACUUGAGUGCAGGAGGGGAAAGCGGAAUUCCUAGUGUAGCGGUGAAAUGCGUAGAUAUUAGGAGGAACACCAGCGGCGAAGGCGGCUUUCUGGACUGCAACUGACACUGAGGCACGAAAGCGUGGGGAGCAAACAG
rnacentral:rRNA from 1 species